UAAGAUUUUGGACGAGAUGUUCGAAAAAGGCUGUUUGCCAAACAAGUCUACUUAUGCUAUGUUGAUUAAGGGGCUCUGUGACUCGGGAGAGGAAGCUGAAGUCACUAGAGUAAUAUCUAUGGCAAUGUCAACUGGGAUCUUUUCCUUACUAAGGUUGUUGGUGAUUUGGAUACUGGGGAAAGUGUUCUAAACAGAAUACUACUGGAGAAUGCUGAUUAGAGCCCCAGACCUUGUGGCCUUGGAAAAUGCUGACCUUGAUCUCACCCACAGUUUUUCUCAGGUGCCAGUAGAAGUACCUUAUUGGAAUCAAGUCUGCAGGGACCCAAGAUGGGCACUGAUGGUGGAUAUUGGAAGGGACUGUUCUCUGUCUCCUCCACUCAAUCGCACAUACACAAGAAUAUAUUUAGAAUUUCC